rnacentral:rRNA from 1 species
CUACUGGGGUAUCUAAUCCUGUUUGCUCCCCGCGCUUUCGCACCUCAGCGUCAGUAUCGAGCCAGUGAGCCGCCUUCGCCACUGGUGUUCCUCCGAAUAUCUACGAAUUUCACCUCUACACUCGGAAUUCCACUCACCUCUCUCGAACUCCAGACAUCCAGUAUCAAGGGCCGUUCCGGGGUUGAGCCCCGGGAUUUCACCCCUGACUUAAAUGUCCGCCUACGUGCGCUUUACGCCCAGUAAUUCCGAACAACGCUAACCCCCUCCGUAUUACCGCGGCUGCUGGCAC